GAUGAAUAACGUAGCGAAAUGCGAUAAGUAAUGUGAAUUGCAGAAUUCAGUGAAUCAUCGAAUCUUUGAACGCACAUUGCGCCCGCUGGUAUUCCGGCGGGCAUGCCUGUUCGAGCGUCAUUUCAACCCUCAAGCCCCCGGGUUUGGUGUUGGGGAUCGGCUCUGCCCUUCUGGGCGGUGCCGCCCCCGAAAUACAUUGGCGGUCUCGCUGCAGCCUCCAUUGCGUAGUAGCUAACACCUCGCAACUGGAACGCGGCGCGGCCAUGCCGUAAAACCCCAACUUCUGAAUGUUGACCUCGGAUCAGGUAGGAAUACCCGCUGAACUUAAGCAUAUCAAUAAGCGGAGGA
rnacentral:misc_RNA from 1 species